AGAACGAACGCUGGCGGCAUGCCUAACACAUGCAAGUCGAACGAGACCUUCGGGUCUAGUGGCGCACGGGUGCGUAACGCGUGGGAAUCUGCCCUUGGGUUCGGGAUAACAGUUGGAAACGACUGCUAAUACCGGAUGAUGUCUUCGGACCAAAGAUUUAUCGCCCAGGGAUGAGCCCGCGUAGGAUUAGCUUGUUGGUGAGGUAAGAGCUCACCAAGGCGACGAUCCUUAGCUGGUCUGAGAGGAUGAUCAGCCACACUGGGACUGAGACACGGCCCAGACUCCUACGGGAGGCAGCAGUGGGGAAUAUUGGACAAUGGGCGAAAGCCUGAUCCAGCAAAUGCCGCGUGAGUGAUGAAGGCCUUAGGUUGUAAAAGCUCUUUUACCCGGGAUGAUAAUGACAGUACCGGGAGAAUAAGCCCGGCUAACUCCGUGCCAGCAGCCGC
rnacentral:rRNA from 1 species